UAGGGAAUCUUCGGCAAUGGGGGCAACCCUGACCGAGCAACGCCGCGUGAGUGAAGAAGGUUUUCGGAUCGUAAAGCUCUGUUGUAAGAGAAGAACGUGUGUGAGAGUGGAAAGUUCACACAGUGACGGUAACUUACCAGAAAGGGACGGCUAACUACGUGCCAGCAGCCGCGGUAAUACGUAGGUCCCGAGCGUUGUCCGGAUUUAUUGGGCGUAAAGCGAGCGCAGGCGGUUUAAUAAGUCUGAAGUUAACGGCAGUGGCUUAACCAUUGUUCGCUUUGGAAACUGUUAAACUUGAGUGCAGAAGGGGAGAGUGGAAUUCCAUGUGUAGCGGUGAAAUGCGUAGAUAUAUGGAGGAACACCGGUGGCGAAAGCGGCUCUCUGGUCUGUAACUGACGCUGAGGCUCGAAAGCGUGGGGAGCAAACAGG
rnacentral:rRNA from 1 species